rnacentral:rRNA from 1 species
CGGGCCCGCGUCGACGUGGCAAAAGAGACUGCCACACGGGCAGGUCGCACCCGAACACCAAAAGAAAUUGAGAGCCCCCAUCCGAGUCUCUUCCGCCGGAAUCAAGGUCGCCGCCUAACUCCUCCCUCCCUCGCCGACGAAGCUGCUGCCUCCGCCGCCGAGAGGAGCUCCGAGCUCGUCCCCCACCUCGCGUCCCCGCCUCUGUGCUGCCGCCGCCGUCCCCUGCAUCCUCCCCUCUAGCGGCUCCAGCCUGUGCGGUCCCCGUCACCCCGUCUGUGACGAGCUCCGCAUCCUCCCGUGCAGGGACUCCGACCCGUGCUGCCGCCAUCAACCUCCCCUCAAGCGGCAAGUGCCUAUAAAUUUGGGUGAGAAUGGCAGGACAAUCGCCAAAUCAAGUAUCAUCAGCUGAAGCUAUCUUGGUGGGAGCCUUGUCCUCUGGUGUUAAUGCUCCCACGUGGGUCGUGCUCCAGAUCACAUUUUUGCUACUGGCAUUCUGCUUCACCGCCAUGCUCUACCUAGCCUUUUUCUCAAGCGACUUUGUGAUCGUCGGGCACGUCCUUCUGCUCAUAACCAUCGGCGUGGUUCUAUUCGUGCUCCUCAACAGGUUCCUCGCGGAGACUGGCUUCGUCCCGGUCGAACAGCAGAUGCAGGAGAUAGGGAUCCACAAACCAGAAGCCACAGAGAAAGACAAGAGCAACUGAGCCACUUGGGCCUGACUUUUUUACAUUACAUUAUGAUGAUGAUGAAACAGAGUGUGCCACGCUGUACGUGACGACUCCACACAUAGCAUACACAAAGUUCAGAUAGAUGCUAAUUGCAUAGGUGCACAUCUGUUUAAGUGCAGCGAUACUUUGGAGCGGAGCAGCAUCUUCAGCCAUACGCUCGGCCGCUUCGUCAGUCCUUUGGUUUGCCGCUCUUCUUCUUCUUGACGUAGCAGAAGCACGAGCAGCAGGGGAACUGGAACAGGAACUUCAUUGGUCUGGGAUGGGACUCGCUGAUGCUGUUGUUUGUUGCGUGCGUUGAGUUGGUGUGUUGCUGAAGGCGGGUCUGCAUCCGGCCUUAGAUAUACUAGCGUGUUGAUUCCUUGCUUGGCUGGUUGUGUUAUCACAGGACGGUGGAGAUUGUGGUGCUUUCUUCUGUGUGGGGUGGUUUGUGCGAUUAAUUUCAUUGGCUUGUUGUGCCGAGAAGAAUUUGUCGGCAAGUAACCGUGGCGAUCGUUCCAUCUGCCUCUACCGUAAUGUAUCCACUGCAAAGUAGUAUUAAAACCCAUUCACAAGCCAUUACAAGUCUGGAAUUAUCCUCUGAAGAAAAGAAGGGGUAAACAAGUCUGGAGUUGGUAGUGGUUUUGAAGUUGUGAACAACUUCUUGCUUGCCUCGCUACCAAGCGGGAGGAAUAUCCUUUGGUUGCC